CGCAAAACGGUGGUCGAGUUCGGCCCGCCAGCAGAACAUGAGUCAGCGCACGAGGCCGGCGCUUCACAGGACCGUCACCAGGCCUGUCGCGCGACGGUGCAUGGGACUGUGGUAGAGCUGAUGGCCUACGGAAGUCGGUGUUUCAGUCAGAAAACAUCUUGGCGGCCCGCCCAAAUUCAGCAAGCAAGCUGGAGAUUUUAGCUGCCGAGAAGUGCGCGCUACUGGUCAAAAAAGGCAAACGCUGGUAAGGUUUCAG